CACGGAAUUAGCCGGUCCUUUUCUGACGGUACAUACAAUACGGGGUUCACGAACCCCUUUAUUCCCGACUAAAAGCAGUUUACAACCACGAGGGCCGUCAUCCUGCACGCUACUUGGCUGGUUCAGCCUCCCGGCCAUUGACCAAUAUUCCUCACUGCUGCCUCCCGUAGGAGUCUGGACCGUGUCUCAGUUCCAGUGUGGGGGACCUUCCUCUCAGAACCCCUACCCAUCGUAGGUUAGGUGGGCCGUUACCCCGCCUACUGCCUAAUGGGACGCAUCGCCAUCCGUUACCAAUAAAUCUUUCAUGAAUCCACAUGCGGAAAAUUCAUCGCAUCGGGUAUUAAUCUUACUUUCGCAAGGCUAUCCCCGAGUAACGGGCAGGUUCGAUACGCUUACGCACCCGUGCGCCGGUCGCCAUCAGGGUCAGCAAGCUGACCCAUGAUGCCCCUCGACUUGCAUGUGUAAGCCUGUAGCUAGCGUUCAUCCUGAGCCAGGAUCAAAACUCUA
rnacentral:rRNA from 1 species